rnacentral:rRNA from 1 species
CGUGCCUAAUACAUGCAAGUCGAACGCACUCUCGUUUAGAUUGAAGGAGCUUGCUCCUGAUUGAUAAACAUUUGAGUGAGUGGCGGACGGGUGAGUAACACGUGGGUAACCUGCCCUAAAGUGGGGGAUAACAUUUGGAAACAGAUGCUAAUACCGCAUAAAACCUAACACCGCAUGGUGUAGGGUUGAAAGAUGGUUUCGGCUAUCACUUUAGGAUGGACCCGCGGUGCAUUAGUUAGUUGGUGAGGUAAAGGCUCACCAAGACCGUGAUGCAUAGCCGACCUGAGAGGGUAAUCGGCCACACUGGGACUGAGACACGGCCCAGACUCCUACGGGAGGCAGCAGUAGGGAAUCUUCCACAAUGGACGAAAGUCUGAUGGAGCAACGCCGCGUGAGUGAAGAAGGUUUUCGGAUCGUAAAACUCUGUUGUUGGAGAAGAAUGUAUCUGAUAGUAACUGAUCAGGUAGUGACGAUAUCCAACCAGAAAGCCACGGCUAACUACGUG